CCUACGGGAGACAGCAGUAGGGAAUCUUCCACAAUGGGCGAAAGCCUGACCGAGCAACGCCGCGUGCAGGAAGAAGGCCUUCGGGUUGUAAACUGCUUUUAUAAGCGAGGAAUAAGAUGGUAACUUAUGAAUCAGGAUCGGACAGCUACGAGCCAGCAGCCGCGGUCAUACGUAGGAGCCGAGCAUGAUCCGGAGCGUCUGUGUGUAAAGAGUUGCGUAGGGGGUAUAAUAAGUAGCUGUGGAAAACUGGUGUCUCAACCAGUCGGAAGAUUAGCUAAACUGUGAAGCUGGAGACCGUUAGAGGUAAGUGGAAUUUCUAGUGUAGGGGUGAAAUGCGUAGAUAUUAGGAGGAACACCAAUAGCGAAGGCAGGUUACUGGGACGGUACUGACGCUGAGGCACGAAAGCGUAGGGAGCAAACGGGAUUAGAUACCCCUGUAGUC
rnacentral:rRNA from 1 species